ACCUGAAUAUUGGCCCUGCGUCUAAUAUCAUUUCCAACCAAGUUACAUUUACUAUUUACUUCGCUUGUUACUAUGGCUAUUUCAUUUAAACAUUUUCAACUCUUAGAAUUAAUAAACACUAGAUUUAAUUGUUCCCUAGCUCCUUGUGGAUUCGAUCCCUAAGUACUACAUAUGAACCUCUUUUGAUGAGAGUAACACUCCUUAGGGUAAUUUGAGUGGUAUCAGGCCUCUUCAUCAUACUCAACUCCUCAUGUCUUUCUCUUCCUAUAUAUUGAUCCCAUCUCAACAGGAAGAAGGUUUUCUAAACUUUCAAUGUGGGACAAAGUAAAAAGAGAGAAUGAGACUUUAAUUUUUAAUAAAUGUCAAACGGGCCAACUUGAAAAAUCAGGGUCGUUACAAUUCUUUCCCACUAAGAAGGAAUUCGUCCCCAAAUUUAAAUCUUGAGCCAAGAAAAGGAAUAAGAUGUCUUCAGCUUGACUUAACUCUGUUAGAAUGACGCUUGACCGCUGCAGACACUCCAAACUAUGUGGUCCUCCCAUAUCAAAUAAGGUGAAAUCUCCAUACUCAACCACUACUGAUGUUAUGCACAACUUUUUUUUUAAACACAUGAUAACCGCAAAAGACACCAUGCACAAACAUAAACUACCAAAGUGAAAAGAUACAUACCAUCAGUCGGCUCAACUCUCUCGUUGCCUCUUGCAGCAAAUACUUAUGGUGCGAUAGUCUGGCGCUUAGCUGGUGAUGGAUUCUCUACACGUCCCCCCCCCCCCCCCCCCCCCCCUUCGGGCAAUCCAUGAAAAUGUGACCAGACUGGCCACAACAUUAACAAUUCUUUGAAGCUGCUGCUAGUGUCGUUGGUUCUGUAACCUGUCCGGUACCAGUACCAUCCACUCUCGAAAAUCGACAAUACUUGGCCACAUUGCCUAACCGCCCACAUGGAAAACACAUGACACAAUCUCCAAAAUGGUAGCGAUGGCAGCACUCACAACUGGGUGUUCCUGACUGAUCCCCUGCCAUGUUCUGUGACUCUGAAGUCCUUUCAGUUCUAGGUUGGGCCUUAGAGUACUUCCGCUCCUCUGCAAUACAUGCAUCCUGCACAACAGCCUUCUUUACCAGAUCCUCCAAGCUCGUGUAAGUAACCUUACUGGACCUGCCGCGAAGAUCAACUCGCAUCCCAUCUAAGAACCUCCUGAUCAAGUCCUCAGCAAACAAGCGGAGUUGGCAAAACUCCUGCUCAUACUCCCUGAUGCUCCUAGUAACCUGUGUCAGAUGCUCAAAAGCAUUCUUCUGGUGCAACGCUUCUCUGGGAAAGUACUUAUUGUCGAACGCAACGAGGAAAUCCUGAUAAGUCAUGUCACCAUCACGCAUCGAUCGCACUCCAUCCCACCAUACUAACGCAUCCCCACGCAGAUACAACUCUGCGAUAUCAAGGCAAAGGCGUAACGGACAAUUGAUAGUCUGUAAACAUGUAUCUAGCCUAUGCUUCCAAUUAUAGGCCUCUAUCAGGUCUACUUAUCCCCCAAAAGUUUCCAAAUCCACAUAUUUCAUCUGUCUCAUCACCCGCAUAAGCGUCUCAUCAACCUCGGGAACUUCCCCUGGAAGAACAGGUGGUGGUGGUGGUGGAGCCUGAAAAACCCCUGGAACAUGCUAGAUAGUGGGCUGCUGCUGUCCCUGAACCUGAACUGGUUGAACCAGCUGAAUAGGGGGCUCCUGUUGCCCCUAAACCUGAACAGGCGGAAUCUACUGACCCUGCUGAGCUGCAGCCAUCUGCCUAACCACUUCUUGUGCAGCUACUCUAGCCGCCUCCUGGACAGCUUUCUGGACUGCUUCAUGUGCGGCCUGUCUGUCAGCAUCCUACACCAUCUGCCUAAGGGCAUCCUGAUCAAUUGGUGGAACUGGUGGCAGAACAUGCUCAUCUCCACCCUCUCGAGAAGCACUAGCGGCCUGAGUGCGAAAAACUCUCUUACAUGGCGGCAUCUGAAAGAAAUAGCAACUCAAUUAACUUCUGCCGAAACCGAACACGAACGAUUCAAGACAUAAUGCCAAACAGAAAGGUGCUAUUUACUUUUAUUUUUAAAAUCCCCAUAUUUCCAUAAAUAUUAUAAAAAUCGUCUUAAACCGAUUAAAUAUCGAGUCCCACAAAUCGCCAUCUCGGGUCAGAGCCGGGACGGAACUCCGCUCUGAUACCAAAUUGUAAUACCCCGAUUUUUUAGAAUAAAAUAAACAAAUAUAAAGUCUGAAAUCUCUAUUUAUUACUCCUCAAAUGGAAACUCAAAAGUCAUAAUUCCAAUAAAUAACCAUAAUGCAAUAAAAGAGAUAAAUCCCAAAAUAUCGAUAAACAUCAUAAAAACCGCAAGUCUGAAAAUUAAAGAAAUAAAACUCCCAAAGCACCAAUGCGAUAGCAAUCACUGCUGCUCGUCAGUCUCACCUGAAAGGGGAAAGAAGGAGGGGUGAGUAACAGGGAAGUCACUCAGUAAGGUAUGGAAUGCUAAACCGCAAACCAUUGACUCAGUACAUAGCACUACGACUCUGUAGGCCUAACUCUAGCAUGAAACAAACACGGUGUCUAAUACACCACAUAAAACAUCAAAUGCGCUGAUAGUGCAUAACUAGAUCACACACCCCACAUUCUCCUUAUACGGAUAUAAAUAUAUAUUUCUAUGUGCCACUAGUACACGAUUCCAUCCUUAUACCCCGCAAUCACCUAUGCGCCGCUAGUACAAACGUCUUUGUACCCCGCAAUCCCCAUACAAUGCGUCACUGGCAUAGACAUCCAUAUGCCCCACAAUCUCCAUACAAUGCACCGCUAACACAAACGUCUCUGUGUCCCGCAAUCUCCACACAAUGCGCGGUUACCACAACAUCUUUGUGCCAUGCCAUCUCAUAACAGACUUAUGUAUACAUAUAUAUAUAUAUAUAUAUAUAUAGCAGUUAUUAAUUCAUUCAAUUCAGUCAACUGCUGAAUCCUCUAUUAUCCUAUUUCCAAUUUUACAAGCAAAUAAUAAUAAACAAAAAAACAAGACUCUCAAACAGACUCGAAUCACAGAGACAAAUCAUGUUUUGAAACUAGACUUUCCAUAAUAGUAGUACUAAACUAGCUCGGGAUUUAACGGUGUAGCCCUCACCUUAGUCACUAGCUAGAAUGAACAACGGAAGAUGGUCAACGGAGGUCAGCUGCAACAUGAGAGUUAACGGCUUAGGCUCAAGAGUCUCAGGAAAUAAAGUUUUCCAUAAUGGAAACUUUCUUAAAAUGGAAACUUUCCUAAAAUAGAACUUUCCUAAAAUGGCAGAUUUUCUAAAAUAGAAAUGUUUCCUAAAUAGACUCCUAUAACUAGAAAUAAGAAGGCGACAAACUUACCAGAACAACCCGCCGGAAGCUCGUCCAGAAAUCUCACCGGAAACUCGCCCAGGAAUUCCACCGGAAAAAAUCACUAGUGACUGAUCGUUGGAUAAUUCAAGAACUCGUCACGCGCAAAGAAAUACUUUGACUUGAUGAGAAUAAAAAGAAUGGGUGAAGUUUCUUAUAUAGGAGAAGGGAAGGGAGGUAGGUUUUCUAAACUUCCAAUGUGGGACAAAGUAAAAAGAAAUAUUGAGACUUUAAUUUUUAAUAAAGGUCAAACGGGCCCACCAGAAAAAUCAGGUUCGUUACAGAAGCAGGGGAGAGAAGUGGUGACAUCCUGAUUAAGAGAGCAUACCUCGUGGGGAAGAAUACCAUGGUGUAGGUGACGUCAUUAUGUAGAUAUUGAAUAUCUCGUGGGUGGGAGAAAAUCAUGGUGUGAAUGAAGUCCUUUCAAAGACCGAACAUGCAUUUUGUUUUGCAUUCGGUUCAUGUAGAUAGUUCAUAUCUCGUGGUGGAGAAAAACAUAUCUAAGAUGGAAAAUUUUGUUAGUGUAUAUCUUAUGGCAGAUAAAACAUAUCUAGUGUGAAAGUUAUGGGUGACGAAACAUCGUUGGUUAACCAGAAAUCGGUUUUACUUGAUUGGCAAACAAAGCUAGAAAAGGGAGAUUGAAGAAGUUGGUGAGAGAGUCACUGAUGCAGGUGCAUCAUUUGUUAACCUAGAAGGCAUGCAUAAUGGAUGAAACCACGUAGGUGCAAGAUACUUAGUUGCAUAUGGACAAAGUUGAGGAGCAAAUUCAUGUCUUAAUGUAGUCACUGUCAUGAAAUUGUUACAGGAUGCAUGCGAAGUAGAGGAACCACGUGAUUAAGAAAUGCUGAGAUGGAUUUUGGUAACUUGAAGUGCAAGUUUAGACAUUGGAGAAAAACAUAUAAACUGAUAUACCAUGGAUUUUACCCAAUUUUACCCAUGGUAUAUAGGUUUUUUAAAUACAUAUUACUGUUUUGAAUUUUUUUAGUAUGUUUUCAGGUUUUGGAGUGAUUUGGAGGAAAGUGAUGAUUUGGUGCAUUUUGGAGAUAAGAUGAUAAAGAACCGUAGUUGACCAUCGACCGGCCUAGCGAUCGAUGAUCAAGGAUGAUAAUAGAUCAACACACACUUUGUGUUGUCGAUCGACGGCGAAGCGCAGAUGCAAGAUUGGUUCCAGCCGAAUUUAAGCCCAAGUCCCACAAGAAUUACCAGAUUAUCCCUGACGAGUUUUAAUCUGAUAUUUAUGUGCUCUUUCAUUUUUUUGGGCAAGACACGCUUUCUUAUUUUCACAGAAAAAUACUUGGAGUCUUAGGUUUGGGGAAAAGAUCCAAGAACUCCUUCAGAGAUUUGUGAUUGGAACUCCAGUUUUAUUUAUGCAAUUUUUGUAUCUUAUUGUUAUGAAUGGCUUAGCUAUGUCUCAGUAAUUCUCUUUGUUAGAUUUAGGAUUAAGAUAUUCAUGAGAGAUUAGCCCAAAAUAUAGAAUUUCUAAGUGUUAGGAUAUCAAUCAAUUAAAUUGUUGUUAAUGCAUGUUUUCUAGAGUAGCUAACUAGUACCUUGCCAAUAGAUAUUAGGGCGCAAGCGGAAGCUUGGUUCUCUGUCUAAAUUAGUUUACAUUGUGCUAGGAUUGCUAGAAAUAAGUAGAAGCUGAUUUAGUUAAACCUAGUGAACAUUUCAACCCCGUGUGAUAACGGUCCCUAGAAGGUUCAUCGAUCGACAACUCAUUAGUUGUAUCGAUCGACGGGCUGAAAGGUGUAUCGAUCGACACUUUCUCAGGACCAACAAGCGACAGCUGAGGUCCUAGAUCCAGCGAUAGAUUGUCUAAAAAUACGAAAGUUGAUCGACUAUUCUUAUUGUUUGAGUUCUAGAAUAUCCAUUAUAUGCUUAGUAUCUAUAUCUCUAUAAUUCUGGUUGACUGAAUAGAAAUCCUAAGUCUAACAUCUUCCAUAUCUGUCUUAAAACCCCAACCAAUCAAUCGAACAAUUACUUGUUCACCCCUGCUAUUUACUGCUUUAAACUUAUUUUCCUAGAUUAACUACAUACCUAUCUAGAUCUAUUGUGUGUCUUAGCUCCUUGUGAAUUUGAUCCCUAAGUGUUACAAUUCUCGACCUUUUAUUUGAGAGAGUAAAUCACUCUUUAGGGUAAUUUGAAUGAUAUCAUAAACUUCAAAAUAAUUAUUUUUUUUCUUUGGAAAAAUGAAUAAAUAUAGUUUUAAGGAAAAGAAAUAUACUUAAUAAUAUGAAUGUUAUCAAUAUUCAUGGAUUCUUUGAAUAGCUAAAUUAAGUGUCGAUAAAGAAUCUAUAAGAUAUUUAAGACUGAUUUUAGAAUAUCCAUUAUAUGCUUAGUAUCUAUAUCUCUAUAAUUCUGGUUGACUGAAUAGAUAUCCUAAGUCUAACAUCUUCCAUAUAUGUCUUAAAACCCCAAUCAAUCAAUCGAACAAUUACUUGUUCACCCCUGCUAUUUACUGCUUUAAAUCUAUUUUCCUAGAUUAACUACAUAUCUAUCUAGAUCUAUUGUGUGUCUUAGCUCCUUGUGAAUUCGAUCCCUAAGUGUUACAAUUCGACCUUUUAUUUGAGAGAGUAAAUCACUCUUUAGGGUAAUUUGAAUGAUAUCAUAAACUUCAAAAUAAUUAUUUUUUUUCUUUGGAAAAAUGAAUAAAUAUAGUUUUAAGGAAAAAAAAUAUACUUAAUAAUAUGAAUGUUAUCAAUAUUCAUGGAUUCUUUGAAUAGCUAAAUUAAGUGUCAAUAAAGAAUCUAUAAGAUAUUUAAGACUGAUUUUAGAAUAUCCAUUAUAUGCUUAGUAUCUAUAUCUCUAUAAUUCUGGUUGACUGAAUAGAAAUCCUAAGUCUAACAUCUUCCAUAUAUGUCUUAAAACCCCAAUCAAUCAAUCGAACAAUUACUUGUUCACCCCUGCUAUUUACUGCUUUAAAUCUAUUUUCCUAGAUUAACUACAUAUCUAUCUAGAUCUAUUGUGUGUCUUAGCUCCUUGUGAAUUCGAUCCCUAAGUGUUACAAUUCGACCUUUUAUUUGAGAGAGUAAAUCACUUUUAGGGUAAUUUGAGUGAUAUCAUAAACUUCAAAAUAAUUAUUUUUUUUCUUUGGAAAAAUGAAUAAAUAUUGUUUUAAGGAAAAGAAGUAUACUUAAUAAUAUGAAUGUUAUCAAUAUUUAUGGAUUCUUUGAAUAGCUAAAUUAAGUGUCGAUAAAGAAUCUAUAAGAUAUUUAAGACUGAUUUGAGAGAGAGAGAGAGAGAGAGAGAGAGAGAGAGAGAGAGAGAGAGAGAGAGAGAGAGAGAGAGAGAGAGAGAGAGAGAGAGAGAGAGAGAGAGAGAGAGAGAGCUCUUGGUUAGAGUUCUUGGCAUCAUACUAAGUCAAAAUUUGACAUAUGAGGCGACAAAGUCAUAAAACUUGGAUAUUUUAGGAAUAUUUCAGUAACAAUUAUAAAGAGAUAACAAAUUGUGUAAAACAGAUUAAGCUGUGUUACAAAAAAACAGAUUAAGCUAGUUUAAUAAUAGAUUAUUUAUGUGAUUUUUAAUAAAACAAAUAGUGUUUUCUAAUCUCAUUGUCUAUUGAUUUAUUUUCUACAUUACUUCAUCGUGAUCUUUUACAUGUUCUUUUUGCAUACAUUGAAAGUUUAAUGUUGAUUUUUUCGUAUAGAUAAAAAGUUUAUUAACGCCCAUCUUCCUGCAAUGUAUAUAAAAAUAUUGUGUAGAAUUUGUCUUGAAAAUUUAUAAGAGGAAAACCAUGUAGAAGGGAAAU